rnacentral:rRNA from 1 species
UCUGGUGCCCAUAGCAAGGUGGAACCACCCCUUCCCUUCCCGAACAGGACCGUGAAACACCUCCGCGCCGAUGAUAUUGCUUACUACGAGCGAGAAAGUAGGUCAGCGCCAGAC